GAACUACUGCUCUUUGGUUUCCCUUUUCUCAGCAUAGAGGUGGAGGUCGCUCUGCUUCGCCUCCAAUGCUUCCCGCCUCUUGCAUCACAUAGACGGAUGCUGGAGCACAGAACAAGCAAGAAAAGGAGAAGCAGAAAGAUAAGAGAUGAAGAAGGAAUGAUGAAAGGCAGGGGAUAGAGUAUGUGGCUUCGAGGAGGGAAAGAGGGGGUUUAAAUAACGAUGCCCAUGGCCAUCGUCUCUGCUUCAGCAAGGUCGAGUGAAAGAAGGAAAUGGGUUGGGGACCAGCCCAGGCUCACGUGCAUUUGUGGGGAGCAUUGGCUCGUAACAUCACACAGAAUUUAAGGUGCCGUCUUUGCUUCUUUGUCACUUUUGUGCAUGAACAUGUCAAAGUUUUAUCCUCCUUUACCGACUUCUUUUCGUGAGAAUUGGUUGGAGGAAUCAUCUUCGAGACAUUAGCUCUCGCCACUUGCCAGAGCCCAGAAAAAAACCAGACAAGGCAGCUUACCUGUGCUCGUACUACUGAACUGCUGAUGGUUCACGGGGGAAGGAAGUGGCGUGUCUGUAUGUACUGGCCUGUUCGAAAUUAUUUGCUAUUAGUCUGAUGCGUGACACGAUCUGUCAGGUGAUUAAACUGACUACUCGGUUCGUCCUGUAUCGGCGCCCGCAGGCCACUGCUGGAGCAUAAUGCGUGUUCUUUUGGCGUCCGUUGUUCAAUUGUGACAAACUGUACACAUUUUACAGGCGAGCAGGUUGUUGUAUGAUUGCAAAGACCAAGCUCAGACAGUGAUUGGCCGGGGUCCCAAGGGUAGGGGCUGUGGAAGCACCCUCCCUGACAAGGUCUCCCAAGAGCCAAGACUACUGGUGAUGUGUGGCACAAUUUGAGUGACAGCAUUGCCCGUUGUUUCUUUCCAACAGACUACUGAACAAUCACUCGAGUAGUGGUAGUUUAUAUCACACAGAAGCUGAACUUGUUACAGCACGCUACUUCUGGAGUGUCCGGAGCUUCCAUUGCUGGCAGGUGGCAACCGUGUGGUUGAAACCAAAC